GGGUUGUGAGGUUAAGCGACUAAGCGUACACGGUGGAUGCCUAGGCAGUCAGAGGCGAUGAAGGGCGUGCUAAUCUGCGAAAAGCGUCGGCAAGGUGAUAUGAACCGUUAUACCCGACGAUACCCGAAUGGGGAAACCCAGUGUGAUUCGUCACACUAUCAUUAACUGAAUCCAUAGGUUAAUGAGGCGAACCGGGGGAACUGAAACAUCUCAGUACCCCGAGGAAAAGAAAUCAACCGAGAUUCCCCCAGUAGCGGCGAGCGAACGGGGAGGAGCCCAGAACCUGAAUCGGCUUGUGUGUCAGUGGAAGCGUCUGGAAAGGCGCACGAUACAGGGUGACAGUCCCGUACACGAAGAUGCACAGGUUGUGAGUUCGAAGAGUAGGGCGGGACACGUGGUAUCCUGUCUGAACAUGGGGGGACCAUCCUCCAAGGCUAAAUACUCCUGACUGACCGAUAGUGAACCAGUACCGUGAGGGAAAGGCGAAAAGAACCCCGGCGAGGGGAGUGAAAUAGAACCUGAAACCGUGUACGUACAAGCAGUGGGAGCACCUUUAGGGUGUGACUGCGUACCUUUUGUAUAAUGGGUCAGCGACUUAUAUUCUGUAGCAAGGUUAACCGAAUAGGGGAGCCGCAGGGAAACCGAGUCUUAACUGGGCGUCUAGUUGCAGGGUAUAGACCCGAAACCCGGUGAUCUAGCCAUGGGCAGGUUGAAGGUUGGGUAACACUAACUGGAGGACCGAACCGACUAAUGUUGAAAAAUUAGCGGAUGACUUGUGGCUGGGGGUGAAAGGCCAAUCAAACCGGGAGAUAGCUGGUUCUCCCCGAAAGCUAUUUAGGUAGCGCCUCGUGAACUCAUCUUCGGGGGUAGAGCACUGUUUCGGCUAGGGGGCCAUCCCGGCUUACCAACCCGAUGCAAACUGCGAAUACCGAAGAAUGUUAUCACGGGAGACACACGGCGGGUGCUAACGUCCGUCGUGAAGAGGGAAACAACCCAGACCGCCAGCUAAGGUCCCAAAGUCAUGGUUAAGUGGGAAACGAUGUGGGAAGGCCCAGACAGCCAGGAUGUUGGCUUAGAAGCAGCCAUCAUUUAAAGAAAGCGUAAUAGCUCACUGGUCGAGUCGGCCUGCGCGGAAGAUGUAACGGGGCUAAAACCAUGCACCGAAGCUGCGGCAGCGACACUGUGUGUUGUUGGGUAGGGGAGCGUUCUGUAAGCCUGUGAAGGUGGCCUGUGAGGGCUGCUGGAGGUAUCAGAAGUGCGAAUGCUGACAUAAGUAACGAUAAUGCGGGUGAAAAACCCGCACGCCGGAAGACCAAGGGUUCCUGUCCAACGUUAAUCGGGGCAGGGUGAGUCGACCCCUAAGGCGAGGCUGAAAAGCGUAGUCGAUGGGAAACAGGUUAAUAUUCCUGUACUUGGUGUUACUGCGAAGGGGGGACGGAGAAGGCUAUGUCAUCCGGGCGACGGUUGUCCCGGUUUAAGCGUGCAGGUGGGUGGACCAGGUAAAUCCGGUCUGCUGUUAACACUGAGGCGUGAUGACGAGGCACUACGGUGCUGAAGUGACAGAUGCCCGGCUUCCAGGAAAAGCCUCUAAGCAUCAGGUAACAUUGAAUCGUACCCCAAACCGACACAGGUGGUCAGGUAGAGAAUACUCAGGCGCUUGAGAGAACUCGGGUGAAGGAACUAGGCAAAAUGGUGCCGUAACUUCGGGAGAAGGCACGCUCCUGUUGGUGAAGUCCCUCGCGGAUGGAGCUGAGGGGAGUCGCAGAUACCAGCUGGCUGCAACUGUUUAAUAAAAACACAGCACUGUGCAAACACGAAAGUGGACGUAUACGGUGUGACGCCUGCCCGGUGCCGGAAGGUUAAUUGAUGGGGUUAUCCGUAAGGAGAAGCUCUUGAUCGAAGCCCCGGUAAACGGCGGCCGUAACUAUAACGGUCCUAAGGUAGCGAAAUUCCUUGUCGGGUAAGUUCCGACCUGCACGAAUGGCGUAAUGAUGGCCAGGCUGUCUCCACCCGAGACUCAGUGAAAUUGAACUCGCUGUGAAGAUGCAGUGUACCCGCGGCAAGACGGAAAGACCCCGUGAACCUUUACUAUAGCUUGACACUGAACCUUGAGCCUUGAUGUGUAGGAUAGGUGGGAGGCUUUGAAGUGUGGACGCCAGUCUGCAUGGAGCCAACCUUGAAAUACCACCCUUUAAUGUUUGAUGUUCUAACCUGGGCCCGUAAUCCGGGCCGGGGACAGUGUCUGGUGGGUAGUUUGACUGGGGCGGUCUCCUCCCAAAGAGUAACGGAGGAGCACGAAGGUUAGCUAAUCCUGGUCGGACAUCAGGAGGUUAGUGCAAAGGCAUAAGCUAGCUUGACUGCGAGAGUGACGGCUCGAGCAGGUGCGAAAGCAGGUCUUAGUGAUCCGGUGGUUCUGAAUGGAAGGGCCAUCGCUCAACGGAUAAAAGGUACUCCGGGGAUAACAGGCUGAUACCGCCCAAGAGUUCAUAUCGACGGCGGUGUUUGGCACCUCGAUGUCGGCUCAUCACAUCCUGGGGCUGAAGUAGGUCCCAAGGGUAUGGCUGUUCGCCAUUUAAAGUGGUACGCGAGCUGGGUUUAGAACGUCGUGAGACAGUUCGGUCCCUAUCUGCCGUGGGCGUUGGAAGAUUGAGGGGGGUUGCUCCUAGUACGAGAGGACCGGAGUGAACGCACCGCUGGUGUUCGGGUUGUCAUGCCAAUGGCACUGCCCGGUAGCUACGUGCGGAAGAGAUAACCGCUGAAAGCAUCUAAGCGGGAAACUUGCCCCGAGAUGAGUCUUCCCUGGGAACUAGAUUCCCCUGAAGGGACGUUCGAGACGAGGACGUUGAUAGGCUGGGUGUGUAAGCGUAGCGAUACGUUGAGCUAACCAGUACUAAUGACCCGAGAGGCUUAACCUUACAACACCGAAGGUGUUU
rnacentral:rRNA from 1 species